rnacentral:tRNA from 1 species
GGGCCCGUAGCUCAGCAUGGAUAGAGCGCUGGCCUUCGAAGCCGGAGGCCCCGGGUUCAAAUCCCGGCGGGCCCG